rnacentral:rRNA from 1 species
UACGUAGGGUGCGAGCGUUGUCCGGAAUUACUGGGCGUAAAGAGCUCGUAGGUGGUUUGUCGCGUUGUCCGUGAAAACUCACAACUCAAUUGUGGGCGUGCGGGCGAUACGGGCAGACUGGAGUACUGCAGGGGAGACUGGAAUUCCUGGUGUAGCGGUGGAAUGCGCAGAUAUCAGGAGGAACACCGGUGGCGAAGGCGACUACCUGGCCCAUUCUUGACGCUGAGGCGCGAAAGCUAGGGGAGCGAACGGG